rnacentral:lncRNA from 1 species
CCCAUUGGCACCGAUAAGCCCCAAAGAAGCUUUGCAAUCAGCCUGAUGGUUAUCGGAUGGUACCACCAGAAGACGCCCACCGGUCAGCGUGGGCCAGAACACAAUGGAAAAAACAUCGUCUCAUUAUCCCGAUCGAAUUCGGAAUGGCCCGCUGUUGGACAAGCUGAUGGCCGAUUGGAGUGACUGCGAGUUGGUUAUUUAUGCGGAAGAGCGUGAAGACGACGGACUGGACUUGGAGGAUUCAUAGGAAACAGGCGAGCUCGCACGCAAAACUCAUUGAACAUGACGUAUCUACUGCCGAAUAGUUGGCACCUACUUAAAGCCGCCCGCCAAGAACAAUCGGACGCCGGUAAACAGAGCUUGAGUGCGCCAUUAAAUCUUUAAUGCUUUCGGAACGCUCGCACACAUCUGGACAGUGCGUAAACAAUGCCGGCUAAUUUUAGCCUUGUCUCAUCUACAUCAGCCUACAGGUUUCGGCCGCCCAGUCAUCCUCAGUGUCUUUCUUUGCAGUCACCCAGGACCAGAUCGUGCAGCAGAAGAUCCCGGUGCAGCCGCCCAAAGAGCCAGACGCCGGCCUCAACCAAACGACAAUCCUGACGGGCGACCAGCCAAUGGCGGCCAUCGGGGGCGGCAUCGGCGCCGUCAGCCUUCUNGUGCCAGUUGUGGUGGGCUUGCUGGGGGCGGCGCUCUUCGCCUGGAUGGUCUGCUGCGUGCGGAAGCGCGCUCAGAAGAGGCGGGCGGACGCGGCUUCGCCCGUCAACAUGAAGCACAGUCUUUUGGUGCCGGAGCGCUACGCCCCCAAUCCCCAAUACUCCAGCUGUUGCGGCUCCGAGGUCCCGAUCAUUCCCAGGGACUCCGUCCGCUUCUUGGACGAGCUGGGGGAGGGAUGCUUUGGCAAGGUUUAUAAAGGUAAGCGCCUCUUUGA